rnacentral:lncRNA from 1 species
GCACACUGGGGCUGUGACCUGCAGGAAGGAGCCCUGUCACCUUCCCCUCUCUCCUCUCCUCUCUCCCUCUCCUUUCCCCUCUUCUCUUUCCCUUCUCCUCUCCAGCAGCAUCUUGAAUCUGCCUCCGGAGAGUCAAGGUCAAGACCCGCCAUGGAACCAAUCAAGUGGACACCCCAAGAAGCCUUCAACCAGACCCAGUCCAGCUCCCUCCUGCGUGACCCCGUCGAGGGGAAGAACAGCACUGGCUCUGCCAGGACCCUGAGGCUGCUGGAUGCAACCAGCGCCGCCUGGUACAUCCUCACCAUCAUCGGCAUCUA